CAUGAUUAGCGAAAGCUAGGAUUGUAUAGAGAGUAGUCGCAGUCGCUCCAACUCCGAUUUGUGGAUAUAAUCUUUGAUUUUAUUUACGAGUAAGGUGAGAAACAACUAUAAAGUUGGGAACUUUAAUUUUAUUAAGAAAUUAAGGAACUGU
rnacentral:sRNA from 12 species